AAAAAAAAAAAAAAAAAAACACUACAAAUAUGAUAUGAGGAGUAUAUUGUGAUGCAUGACUAGAUUAGAAAAGGAGACUGCAGCAUAGAAAGAAGGGAGAAAUUGCAAAAUAGGAGAGAGACAUGGAAGAAAGAAUAUUAGAGGCAGGAAACUAGAAGGAAAUUAAUUCUCUUAUUGAAACCAAAAAGUACUAAUUAGUAUCAAACACUGGAUAAAACCUCUUUGAAAAUGAUUAAAAACUCAACCCUAAUAUAGAUUUUUUUUUUUCCUUUUUUUGGCUUAAGAAGUUGGAUUUCUUGGAAAGUUAAUACAAGCAUUGUUUGUUUUACCAAGAAAUAAGAAGUUAAAGGGAAGCUGGACUUUUUGAGCUCUCAACUUCUUAAAUCUUAUGGAAGUAUACUAAGGGGUCAAUAGGUAAACUUCAUUAGUGGAUGCGAGAUAAUUACUGAAGUAAUUUUCAGUUACUAUUAUAAAAUAAUUUUCUACACAGAUGAUAAGGAUGUUAUUGCAUUUUCUAGUAAAUUUCCCAAAAUGUCGAUGAAUGAAUCUGGCAAGAAAUUAGUGCACUUCGUAGGAAAAGGUAUGUAAAUCAAGCAAUUCGAGCAAAUUCGAACAUUAUUAUACUUUCAUACUAAACAGCUUUCACCUCAUGCCCCUUCUUAGAAUAAUUCCUAAUAAGUAGUGAUUAACAACUAAAGCAAUUGGCCUUCUAAUGAUUGUAUUAUUGAUCAAUAUCAAACAAUUGAUGAGUUCUAGAUUUCAAUUUACUGAGGCAGGAGUUAAGGGUAAGAGUUUGAAACAAAGCUGAUUGCAGUGAGAAAAAGAAUGAUGCAGACAUGGUGUCUAGAAGAGCUGAAUGGCAAAAAAUGAUUCAUACAGCCGAUCUCAACUAAUUUGGCAUUUAAGGCUUAGUUGUUGUUGAUGGAUAGUGAGAAAAAGAAGAGAAAUAGGCAGCUGUAUUUGAAGUUGUGAAUAGUAUUUGUGGUAUUGUAGUAAGAGAGAGAGAGAGAGAGAG
rnacentral:misc_RNA from 1 species